rnacentral:rRNA from 1 species
UACAGAGGGGGCAAGCGUUGUUCGGAAUUACUGGGCGUAAAGGGCGCGUAGGCGGCCUUCUAAGUCGAACGUGAAAUCCCCGGGCUCAACCCGGGAACUGCGUCCGAUACUGGAAGGCUUGAAUCCGGGAGAGGGAUGCGGAAUUCCAGGUGUAGCGGUGAAAUGCGUAGAUAUCUGGAGGAACACCGGUGGCGAAGGCGGCAUCCUGGACCGGCAUUGACGCUGAGGCGCGAAAGCCAGGGGAGCAAGCGGGG